rnacentral:rRNA from 1 species
CUCCGGGUGAUCCUGCCGGACCUGACUGCUAUCGGAACGGGACUAAGCCAUGCGAGUUUGCCAAUCAGAGCACGGUGGUUGGCGGCGAACGGCUCAGUAACACGUAGUCAACCUGCCCUUGGGUCGAGGAUAAUCUCGGGAAACUGAGGCUAAUACUCGAUAGGUCAAGAUUCCUGGAAUGGGUUUUGGUCAAAAUGAGGUAACAGCAUCUUUGUUAUUUUCGCCCAAGGAUGGGACUGCGGCCGAUCAGGCUGUUGGUGGGGUAAAGGCCCACCAAACCAGUAACCGGUACGGGCUUUGAGAGAAGGAGCCCGGAGAUGGACACUGAGACAAGGGUCCAGGUCCUACGGGGCGCAGCAGGCGCGAAACCUUCGCAAUGCGCGCAAGCGCGACGAGGUUAUUCCGAGUGAUUCCCGCUGAGGGAAUCUUUUCUCAGAUCUAAAACGUCUGGGGAAUAAGGGGAGGGCAAGUCUGGUGUCAGCCGCCGCGGUAAUACCAGCUCCUCGAGUGGUCAGGGCGUUUAUUGGGCCUAAAGCAUCCGUAGCCUGCUCGGUAGGUCUCCUGUUAAAUCCAACGGCUCAACCGUUGGUCUGCAGGAGAUACCGCCGGGCUAGGAGGCGGGAGAGGCGGACGGUACUCCGAGGGUAGGGGUAAAAUCCUUUGAUCCCCGGAAGACCACCAGUGGCGAAGGCGGUCCGCCAGAACGCGCUCGACGGUGAGGGAUGAAAGCUGGGGGAGCGAACCGGAUUAGAUACCCGGGUAGUCCCAGCUGUAAACGAUGCGAGCUAGGUGACACGACGCCUUCGGGGCAUCGUGGUGCCGCAGGGAAGCCGUUAAGCUCGCCGCCUGGGGAGUACGGACGCAAGUCUGAAACUUAAAGGAAUUGGCGGGGGAGCA